rnacentral:sRNA from 1 species
CAUUAUAGUUACCGCCCUAGCGAUUGUAUUAGUGGCUUAAGUUAUUUCUGGGCGUAGAGUUGCAAGUAGGAGGGAACGACUUGGAACAAAACAUUUCAAACUCGUUCAACCUUAACGACGAAGAUAACAAAACAGUUUUGAUAUCAAUGUGGAAAUAUCACACAGACUUUUGGAAGUUUGAACGCACACUAACAACUGACAGCUUUUACUUACCGACUUGUACCACAUCGGAUAUCUCUCUCCCUGGUGUGCUUGUGGUGCGUACCAGCGCACUAGUGAACCAGAACAGGAAGACGCUAGGACAGGGAAGGCUGUUGUUGGCCCGCAAUCAGGCUGCUGGUAAAAGAACUGGUAGAAUUAGUAACAAGAGUCUUUGAAUGCAGAAGGCUGUUAUGUGUUUGUCCUGCAUGUCUUCCCACACGUCAUACCUCGCGGCAGACUUGAAAGAGACCUGGUCAUGUCGGUGUGAUAUUUUUGUUCAAAGUGACGUCAAAAGCAGACGAAGGCAAGACAGAGACGCCCUCUCGCGUCCAACAACCAGCAUUCUCUACACUCUACAGGCAGGUUAAUGGUUGGUGUUAAACAGUAUGUGUGGGUUAGUUGUGUGUGUGUGGUUGUAUGUGUUGCUUGUGUAGACAUUCUGUUCAGACAUACGUCUGUUUGUAUAACUACCAGUCUACCACACUAAAGAAGGUAGUUCUCACAAAAUAGCCACAAAAAAAAAAAACAACAACACAAAACAAACACAAAUAUUUGAUGCUGAUUUGAUUACAAAUAAAAUUGUAAUGCGAUGUUUGCUAAGGUACUCUUAAUUCCA